AUCAUCUUCAUGUUAGAAUACGUCCAGAUACAGGAUUUAGAAAUUAAAAACGUCAUACUGUAUUUUUAUAGUGCCAUACAGCAUCUAGAUUCAAUGGACAGACUAAAUAGCUGGGACACUGACCUUCACUGGGACUUACAUUUCCAGAGAUACAGCACUUCAGCAACUUGUGCUUGACACAACAUCUGGGUUUCUGGAGUUCCUUGUUCUGAGGGAUCAACUGGACCUUUGGAUGCCCUUCAGAUAUUAGAUAUCAAAAUAUAGUUUUCAAGGAAACCCAGGAAAUAUUUCCUUCUGAAAUGCAGGGUGGGAGGCAAAGAUGGGAAACUGGACUUCAUGCUGGACAGUCUGAUUCAGUCAUUUGAAAGCAGCUUGCAGACACUGGGAGUAAAGGCAAGGAAAUCCAAAGUUGCAAUUAAAUACCUGUACUGACAUCUCCAUCAUUUGCCUUCUGGAAAUUGGAAAACAAAUAUCUCCCUCUCCUACCCAUUCUACUAGAAGUGAGAUUAGAGUGUAAA